rnacentral:SRP_RNA from 1 species
GUCCGGAAUAGUGGUGUGUGCCUGUGUUCUCUGCUGUUGAAGAGGCUCUAAGAGUUCAGGAGUUCUGAGCUGCUAUAGGGCUACAGUUGACUGGGUGACUACAUUAAGUCCAACAUCAAUAUGGUGAGCACUUGGGAGUGGAGGGCCACCAGGCUACUUAAGGAGGGGAGAACUGGCCUAGGUCACAAAAAAAAAUGCAGCAGGUUAAAACUUCCAUAUUAAUUAGUACUGAGAUUGGCCCAUGAACAGCCAUUGUACUCCCAUCCUGGAUGAGACAGAGAC